rnacentral:rRNA from 1 species
UACGGGGGGAGCAAGCGUUGUUCGGAUUUACUGGGCGUAAAGGGCUCGUAGGCGGCCAACUAAGUCAGACGUGAAAUCCCCAGGCUCAACCUGGGAACUGCGUCUGAUACUGGAUGGCUUGAAUCCGGGAGAGGGAUGCAGAAUUCCAGGUGUAGCGGUGAAAUGCGUAGAUAUCGAGAGGAACACCUGCGGCGAAGGCGGGUUGCUGGGCUGAUACUGACGCUGAGGCGCGAAAGCCAGGGGAGCGAACGGG